AUAUUGCACAAUGGGCGCAAGCCUGAUGCAGCAACGCCGCGUGCGGGAUGACGGCCUUCGGGUUGUAAACCGCUUUUAGUAAGGAAGAAGGGGAGCUUGCUCCUUGACGGUACUUGCAGAAAAAGGACCGGCUAACUACGUGCCAGCAGCCGCGGUAAUACGUAGGGUCCGAGCGUUGUCCGGAAUUAUUGGGCGUAAAGAGCUCGUAGGCGGUUUGUCGCGUCUGCUGUGAAAUCCCGAGGCUCAACCUCGGGCCUGCAGUGGGUACGGGCAGACUGGAGUGCGGUAGGGGAGAAUGGAAUUCCUGGUGUAGCGGUGGAAUGCGCAGAUAUCAGGAGGAACACCGAUGGCGAAGGCAGUUCUCUGGGCCGUAACUGACGCUGAGGAGCGAAAGCGUGGGGAGCGAACAGGAUUAGAUACCCUGGUAGUCCACGCCGUAAACGUUGGGCGCUAGAUGUGGGGACCUUUCCACGGUUUCCGUGUCGUAGCUAACGCAUUAAGCGCCCCGCCUGGGGAGUACGGCCGCAAGGCUAAAACUCAAAGGAAUUGACGGAAUCGAAUUCCCGCGGCC
rnacentral:rRNA from 1 species